rnacentral:rRNA from 1 species
AUUGAACGCUGGCGGCAGGCCUAACACAUGCAAGUCGAGCGGAUGAAGGGAGCUUGCUCCUGGAUUCAGCGGCGGACGGGUGAGUAAUGCCUAGGAAUCUGCCUGGUAGUGGGGGAUAACGUCCGGAAACGGGCGCUAAUACCGCAUACGUCCUGAGGGAGAAAGUGGGGGAUCUUCGGACCUCACGCUAUCAGAUGAGCCUAGGUCGGAUUAGCUAGUUGGUGGGGUAAAGGCCUACCAAGGCGACGAUCCGUAACUGGUCUGAGAGGAUGAUCAGUCACAGUGGAACGGAGCCAGGGCCAAGACGCCUGAGGGAGGCAGCAGGGGGGAAUGUUGGACAAGGGGGGAAAGCCUGAUCCAACCAGCCGGGGGGUGUGAAAAAGGUCUUCGGUUUGUAAAGCAGUUUAGGUGGGGGGAAAGGGCAGUAAGUUAAUACCUUGCUUUUUUGACGUUACCAAAAAAAUAAGCACCGGCUAACUCCGUG